rnacentral:rRNA from 1 species
AUUGAACGCUGGCGGCAUGCUUUACACAUGCAAGUCGAACGGUAACAGGCCUUCGGGUGCUGACGAGUGGCGAACGGGUGAGUAAUGCAUCGGCACGUACCCAGCGUUGGGGGAUAACGCAUCGAAACCUGUGCUAAUACCGCUUGUGCUCUAAGGAUUAAAUCUGUGGCCUGAGAAGCAUUGUUUGGCUUUCGCCUUUUGGGGCUGCUGUUGUCGGAUUGGCUAGUUGGGUGGGUAAAGGCUUACCAAGGCGAGGCUCCGUAGCUGGUCUGAGAGGAGGAACAGCCACACUGGGACUGAGACACGGCCCAGACUACUACGGGAGGCAGCAGUGGGGAAGUUUGGACAAUGGGAGCAAGCCUGAUCCAGCAAUGCCGCGUGCGGGAAGAAGGCCUUCGGGUUGUAAACCGCUUUUGGCAGGAAAGAAAAGGUGUCCGCUAAUACCGGGCGCUAAUGACGGUACCUGCAGAAUAAGCACCGGCUAACUACGUG